rnacentral:rRNA from 1 species
UGGGUUAAGUCCCGCAACGAGCGCAACCCCUAUUGUUAGUUGCCAUCAUUCAGUUGGGCACUCUAGCGAGACUGCCGGUAAUAAACCGGAGGAAGGUGGGGAUGACGUCAAAUCAUCAUGCCCCUUAUGACCUGGGCUACACACGUGCUACAAUGGUUGGUACAACGAGUUGCGAGUCGGUGACGGCGAGCUAAUCUCUUAAAGCCAAUCUCAGUUCGGAUUGUAGGCUGCAACUCGCCUACAUGAAGUCGGAAUCGCUAGUAAUCGCGGAUCAGCACGCCGCGGUGAAUACGUUCCCGGGCCUUGUACACACCGCCCGUCACACCACGAGAGUUUGUAACACCCGAAGUCGGUGAGGUAACCUUUUGGAGCCAGCCGCCUAAGGUGGGACAGAUGAUUGGGGUGAAGUCGUAACAAGGUAGCCGUAUCGGAAGGUGCGGC